AUACGGAGGGUGCAAGCGUUACUCGGAAUCACUGGGCGUAAAGCGCGCGCAGGCGGCUAUUUAAGUUGGAUGUGAAAGCCUACGGCUCAACCGUAGAACUGCAUCCAAAACUUUUUAGCUAGAGUGUGGGAGAGGAAGAUGGAAUUAGUUGUGUAGGGGUAAAAUCCGUAGAGAUAACUAGGAAUACCAAAAGCGAAGGCAAUCUUCUGGAACACUGCUGACGCUGAGGAACGAAAGCGUGGGGAGCAAACAGGAUUAGAUACCCUAGUAGUCC
rnacentral:rRNA from 1 species